GACGAACGCUGGCGGCGUGCUUAACACAUGCAAGUCGAACGGACGGGCCCUGCUCUCAGGGUACUCGAGUGGCCAACGGGUGAGUAACACGUGGGUGAAUUGCCUUCCUCUUCGGGUUAAGUCAGGUAAACUGGGCCUAACACCGGACAGGUGCUAUUUUUAGCGUGAUGGUUGGAAAGUUUUUUCCGUGCGGGAUGAGCUCGCGGCCUAUCUGCUUGUUGGUGGGGUAAUGUCCUACCAAGGCGGCUACGGGUAGCCGGCCUGAGUGGGUGGACGGCGACAUUGGGACUGAGAUGCGGCCCAGGCAGCUACGGGUGGCAGCAGUGGGGAAUACUGCACGAGGGGCGCAAGGCUGAUGAUGCGGCGCCGCGGAGGGGAAGACGGCCUUCGGGUUGAAAACUCCUUGCGCAAGGAACGGAGCUUUUUGUGACGGUACCUAGAUAGGAAGCACCGGCUAACUACGUG
rnacentral:rRNA from 1 species